rnacentral:rRNA from 1 species
GGUAGCAGAGAAGCUUGCUUCUCUUGAGAGCGGCGGACGGGUGAGUAAAGCCUAGGAAUCUGCCUGGUAGUGGGGGAUAACGUUCGGAAACGGACGCUAAUACCGCAUACGUCCUACGGGAGAAAGCAGGGGACCUUCGGGCCUUGCGCUAUCAGAUGAGCCUAGGUCGGAUUAGCUAGUUGGUGAGGUAAUGGCUCACCAAGGCGACGAUCCGUAACUGGUCUGAGAGGAUGAUCAGUCACACUGGAACUGAGACACGGUCCAGACUCCUACG